CCUCCUGUGGCAGGGAAGGAGAGAGGGAAGGAGGGAGAAGAGAGGGAGAUGGGGAGAGAGAGAGGGAGAUGGGGAGAGAGAGAGGUAAGGAGGGAGAUGGGGAGAGAGAGAGGUAAGGAGGGAGAUGGGGAGAGAGAGAGGUAAGGAGGGAGAUGGGGAGAGAGAGAGGUAAGGAGGGAGAUGGGGAGAGAGAGAGGUAAGGAGGGAGAUGGGGAGAGAGAGAGGUAAGGAGGGAGAUGGGGAGAGAGAGAGGUAAGGAGGGAGAUGGGGAGAGAGAGAGGUAAGGAGGG